CUAAGACUACCCCUCCAACAUUUACCUGAGCUAAGCUUGGUACUAUCACUAUCCCCCACUUUCUCCCUCAUAUUUAUUGAAUCCUCCUAUAUAUUAAUUUCCCAUUUUCCAUAUCACUUGAGAACGAAUUAACUUUGGGAAACAAAAACACCAACUUAACAUUUUUCUCUCUCUUCAUUCAUCUUCCCUACCUCAAACUGCAGAGAAUAAUGAAGAGAGAAUGAGAAACCUCUACUUUCUUCUUUUCUUAAUUUUUUCUCUCUCUAGAAAAUUAAAACAUACUACUACAACUUACAAGGGUGUGUGUGGUUUGUUGUGUUAGAUUUGGUGAGAUUUGAAGGUCGCUUUCUGUCUCUGACUCUCAUGAAGACAAUGACUCUUCAUCCAUUUCUCUACUUUUUCUCCUUCCUUAAUUCAAAUAUACUUCUUCUUCUUCUCCUCCCAUGAACUUCUGCUGACUCUUUUUUUUUUUUCUAGAUAAUAGUAGAAUUUUUCCCUCAUAUAUAUAUGUAGGAAUUUUGCAUUUUAUCAGAAAUAAUUAAAACCCAUCUUUUUUUUUCCACAGGAGAAUUAAACCCUUUUUUUUUUUUUGGGAUGUGGGUUAUAAUUUUCACUUAAAAAUUGCAUCUUGUUUGGUGGUUUUUUUUUUUUCCCUUUCAACAAAAGGUUAAAUUUUUCAUAGGGCCACUUUUUUUUUUUUUAAUAUAUAAAAAGUUUGUAUUAAAAAAGCUUUAAUCUUUGAUUUGAUGGGUUCUUUAUAUUUUAGUUUUCUUGUCCAAAACCAUGAAAAUAAAAAAUAAAAAAAAAUAUUCACAGGAGCUUAUUUAUGAAGAUAAGACUACUCACUACUGCAUGGAUGUUGAGUGAUUUGAGGUGGUAGAGGUGUAUAGACUGAUAGUGGGGUUAGUUGUUGAUGCAGUGAAUAAUUCAAUCUGUAGUCUUAUCAAUCUUGUCUUUCAACCAAGCUAAGUUUUGCUACACACUCUCUCUCUCUUACUAGUUACUAGUAGUAUAGAAUAAAAUAUUACAAAAAAUAAUAAGUAUCUAAGAGUGUACUUCCAUAUUCAGGGUGAGAUCAUAUCAAUAGUCAGUAGUCUGCCAUAAAUAGAUUUAUAUGAUUCCCAUUCAUUUUGAUUCUUUUUAUCUAAGCAAGCUUUAUUUUCCUGUCUCUCUCUUUUUUUAUUUCUUUCUUUAUGUCUGAAUGAAUAUGAGAAGUGGAUGUGGGGAAGGUUAUGUCUCCUCUAUUUUCUCUCCAUAUUUACUUCUCUUUAUUUUUUUUUUUUUUUUUUUGCUUCGAUAAAUAAAAUGCAUGUGAUAUAUCUACUUUUUUCUUUUGUGAUUUGUGCUACCUUUGAGAAUAUUUUGUAACUUGAUCUGUCUUCUUUUUUAGCUAGUGUUUUUUAGUUGUGGGGUAUAAGAUUAUUUUCUGGGUAAGCUAAAUUUUGGCUCUUUUACUUUUUUUUUGUUGUAUGAUUUUUCUAGGGUUGUUGUUUAAAGCUUUUCAUUAGGGUUAGGGUUUGUUGGUUCAUAGAAUUGUUACAUAUAUAUUGAUCUAGGGUUGAUGUUUUGGUUGAAUCUUACUAGUUCUUUGUUGUUCAUUGUGUUAGAUGGUGAUUAGCUUAAUUAUGCUAAGUUGGGUGUUUAAGAAUUUUUUUUAUCUUGUCUAAUGUGCUUUUGAAUUUUAGUCUUAUAUAGUUAAGCUGUAUGCGAUUUAGAUUUGUGUUUUCAUCAAUAUGUUAAUCAAUUAAUUAGUUCUGAUAUUAAUCUCAUGAAUUCUGCUAUUAUAUCUCAUGUGUUCUUGAUAAUGUUGAAUGGGUCUCUAACCAAAGUCAACAAAUAAUUUGAGUUCAUUUAUAUCAAUGUCUUCAUGUAUGAUUGAGCAUUUUCUCUGUUUAAUUAAAUGUGAAGCAUGAUAUAUAGGAAGCUUAUUUGUUUUAAUUCAAUGAUCAUGCAUGUCUUACUUUAUAAUUGACCUUUUCCUCUCUUUAAUAAAAUCAUGAUUGAAUGGGAACUUAUACUUAUAUUUUUAUUCUUGUCAGAUGAAUGUUUUAGUUUACAAUUGACCUUUUCCACUCUUUAUUUGAUCUUGAUUGAGUUGAAAUAUAUAUGGAUCUAUUCAUUUCACAUGAAAUUUUGAUCUUUAUUUCUUUUAAGUGUAUUAAUUCAAAUAGAACCUAAGCUCAUUCUAACCAUGUUGAGAUUUGUGUUUGUCAAAUAUUUAUGUAUUAAUUGCAUGUGUAAAAUUCCUUUCUAUUUCAUGUUAUUAUGCUGUAUGAUUCUUUUUGAGAAGCUAUGGAAUGUUAGGGAGUGUUAGGCUCAAGAAGUAGUGUAAGAGAGCUUCCUUCAGCCCACUCAUGGAUGGGAAAAAGAGGGUCUGAAUUAUCUGCCGACUCAUUCAUUCAAACACUCAGUAGACCGAAGAAUUUGCAAGGGCGUUCUACUGUGAUUGCAUGAAUGAUGCGGGAGAUAGUUUCAUCCUUCUCUCUCCUUGCUUGGACUGAAGGGAGCUCCCUUUCUCUAUUCACUUCAUUUUUCGCAUUAUUCAUUCAAUUCAACUAUGAUGAUAAUUUUCACUUAAUUGCAUUUAACCAUGAAUGAAUUAUUGUUUGUUACUGUUGACUGAGCUGUUAUUUUAUGGUAAUAAUGUACAAUAUGAUCUAGAGUUGCCUUUUCAUCUGCAGUAAUAUUUCCUUGUGUGUUAAUCAUAUACUCUCACCUACUUGCUCUAGAAUUAUUUUCUACAUUGCCAUCUUAGGAAAAAUGAUGAUGGCGUGGUUGCGGAAUGUUACGUUUGUAGAUCAGAUGUUCUACUCUCACCCGUCUCACCUAAUGGAAUCAAUUAUCAAGUUGGCUUCAUAGUUCAGAUUGAGGGACCGAAUCAUGUUUAUGUUGAAAUAGCUGCAGCCUAGCUAAUCAAUUCCUGAAAGUCUUCAAUCAAUACUACAAUAGCGCGCGGUAAUAUCUUGCUUUUGCUCUUUUUUUUCAUCACCUUGAUUAUAUGAUUGUAGGUAUGGAUGCCAAAAAUUUCACUCCUGCUUAUUGUAGUUGGAAGUUAGAACAUUUGAAUUAAGGGUUUGUUCUCUCCACCUUUUAUUUUGCUGAACUUAUCUCAUCUGAACAUGUUAGAACUCAUUUGAACUUCUUUACACUUAUUAAACCGGAAACUUAUACUCUUGAGGUCACGAGAAUGCUCCCUAUGUAGACUGAUAAAUUUGUUAUGAUCCACAUGAAAUGGUCUUACGAUAGUGAAGUAUUGUGUGUCUUCCUAGCUUGAAGGUUUGCUCACCUCUAGAAUGAGUUAGGUUUUAGUACUGUAAACUAUAAUAAGCAAUAUACUUACCAACAAGAAAAAAAAAAGUAUCAUGUGCCGUUGUGCCUCAUGCGAGUUACAAGAGUUAGGUACUGGAGCUGAAUUCCUAUGUAUUUUGUUGGUCCAAGUACCGGAAUAUAUGCAUCCAUAGCUUAUGUCAAGAAUAUCUUUCCAAGGUAUUGUUGCUGCGUACCAAGAAAGUGUAUCUUUCUAACUCUCUUCCUCCCUCCCUCCCUCCCCCUUUCCUCCCUUCUAAGAUGCAGGUAAGACUUACUAGGCAGCUCUUUGACCUCGUGGAACCGACAUUCAAUCUUGAUUCGGCGGUGGAUGUGCAUUUUUUAUGACGCACUAUUUGGAAAAGGUAAAGAGAAACAAGCAUGAUACAAGCUACUCUUUUAAAAGGACAAUCUUAAUUAAUAACCAAGUACUACGAUUUUGUUCAAAACCUUACUUAAAUCUGCUUAGUUUAAUGACUUGUUAGGAAGCACAGAUUCUCGUGGGUACUUUUAAGCAUCAACUGCUCAGUUCAUCGAGUUCUUCGAGGAUGGAAGUACAACCCUAACCCAUUUUUAUUUUCAUCUGAAAUCGUGCUCAUGUGUUUGUGCUUGCUUUAUAAUUACCUUUAUUAAUUUCAAACAAUGCGGCUGCUGCUGUUUGGUUUUGAUGAAAUUUUUCAAUAUAUUAUCUAGUGUUGUUACCGGAGGCGAA